rnacentral:lncRNA from 1 species
GAGGUGUUAGCUAUCUUGAUGGUCUUGAUGCGGGUAUUGGUGGCAUUGGUGGUCUUGGUGGUGAUGUUAGUGGUCUUGGUUAUCUUAGUAGUGGUAUUGGUGGUCUUGUGGCAUUUGUUGGUGGUCUUGAUGGAAUUGGCGGUGGUCUUGGUAGCAUUGAUGGUGGUCUUGGUGGUCCAUCUAUUGCAAUAGGUAGAAAAUUUGUUAGGAGAUAUUAAAUAGGUGUUCAAACAGAUUCUC